AUAAUUACUGUUCAAGCAUUGUUUUCGAAUUUUUCCAUGCAUCAAAGCUCGUUAAGACUAGAUGGGGUAUCCCUACAUAGCGGGUGGGACCCACGGCGAAUGGUUCAUCAAGUCUUCAAAAAAGAAUAUAUACGAUUGCAUUGCAUAUACUAACGGAUGCGAUCAUACCAGCACUAAUGCACCGGAUCCCAUCAGAACUCCGCAGUUAAGCGUGCUUGGGCGAGAGUAGUACUAGGAUGGGUGACCUCCCGGGAAGUCCUCGUGUUGCAUCCCUCUUUUAUGUUUAACCUUUUUUUUUGGGUUAAAACUUUAUGACUCCAUAACUUCUAGACAG
rnacentral:rRNA from 1 species